AACCAUUCUCACCUGCGGCUAGACCUGCGGAGGGAUCAUUACCGAGUUUACAACUCCCAAACCCCUGUGAACAUACCAAUUGUUGCCUCGGCGGAUCAGCCCGCUCCCGGUAAAACGGGGCGGCCCGCCAGAGGACUCCUAAACUCUGUUUCUAUAUGUAACUUCUGAGUAAAACCAUAAAUAAAUCAAAACUUUCAACAAUGGAUCU
rnacentral:misc_RNA from 1 species